UUGUACCAAUCAGUUGGAUUUUUGAUGACAAUGGAACAUUGAAGUGUCGAUGGACAUCAUCACUCUCAAACAUUAAAAACAAUUCUCCACCAAACCCUAACUGGAAGGUUUAUGACAUUGUGAAGAUCGUUGGACCAUCAAUUGACCCUGCAGUUGUGGAAUUACCUGAGAAGAGAAAAAGGAAAAAUAAGCUCUGUGAUGAAAGUGACAUCAAUUCAGAGACAUCUUCCUGUGAAGAUGAUAUGAACUUGAAGCAGUCAGGAAAUGAAGUGAAGCAAUCUGGUCUGAAGUCAAGAAAUGUCCCACUGCCCAAACCUCCUAUAUACCAUGGUUAGCCUGUUUUAACUUUGAUGUAGAACUUUGAACUUGCUAAAGCACUUUUAUGUUUUUUCAAUCCAUUUUUUAUUAGUUUGUU
ensembl:lncRNA